AUUCCAUCUAUUCUAGUCUAUUCUAGUCUAUUCUAGUCUAUUCUAGUCUAGCCUAGUCUAGCCUAGUGUAUUCAUUACAGGGAAAGCAAAAAUGAUUCUGUGGCUGAAUUUGGUGUCCUUUCUUGCACUUCUUGGAGGUGUCCAAUCUGACGUCCAAUUGGUGGAGUCUGGAGGGGGUGUGAUAAGACCUGGAGAAUCCCUCCAACUCUCCUGCCAAACCUCUGGAUUCUCCUUCAAUGGCUCUUACAUGGGCUGGGUGAGACAGGCUCCUGGGAAAGGAUUGGAAUGGGUGGCCUAUAUAAGUCCUGGUUCUGGUGCUUACUACUCAGACAAAGUGAAGGGACGCUUCACCAUCUCCAGGGACAAUGCCAAAAGCCAGAUGUAUCUGCAAAUGAACAGCCUCAACGCUGAAGACAUGGCGGUCUAUUACUGUAUGAGAGGCAUAUAUUGCUAA